rnacentral:rRNA from 1 species
GACGAACGCUGGCGGCGUGCUUAACACAUGCAAGUCGAACGGAAAGGCCCUGCUUUUGUGGGGUGCUCGAGUGGCGAACGGGUGAGUAACACGUGAGUAACCUGCCCUUGACUUUGGGAUAACUUCAGGAAACUGGGGCUAAUACCGGAUAGGAGCUCCUGCUGCAUGGUGGGGGUUGGAAAGUUUCGGCGGUUGGGGAUGGACUCGCGGCUUAUCAGCUUGUUGGUGGGGUAGUGGCUUACCAAGGCUUUGAAGGGUAGCCGGCCUGAGAGGGUGACCGGCCACAUUGGGACUGAGAUACGGCCCAGACUCCUACGGGAGGCAGCAGUGGGGAAUAUUGCACAAUGGGCGGAAGCCUGAUGCAGCAACGCCGCGUGCGGGAUGACGGCCUUCGGGUUGUAAACCGCUUUCGCCUGUGACGAAGCGUGAGUGACGGUAAUGGGUAAAGAAGCACCGGCUAACUACGUA